CAUGGUCUAGCAAGUCUAAUCAAGCAAAACGAACUUUUAGUUUGACCUCCCGAAACUGAGUGAGCUACUUCGAAACAGCUAUAAGAGCUAACCCGUCUCUGUAGCAAAAGAGUGGGAUGAUUUCCAAGUAGAGGUGAUAAGCCUACCGAACUCAGAGAUAGCUGGUUGUUUAAGAAAAGAAUAUUAGUUCUGCCUUAAGUCUCCUGAAUAAUUAAAAAUCCACCCUAGACUUAAGAGUUAUUCAAAUAAGGCACAGCUUAUUUGAAACAGGAUACAACCUAAAAUACUGGGUAAUUCCUUAAAAUGUGUAACAAGUGGGCCUAAAAGCAGCCACCUUUUAAAAAGCGUUAAAGCUUUGUACAAAUACUAAAUUAAUGUCAAUAAAAAUUUUUAACCCUUUAAUAAUAUUAAACAACUCCAUAAACUUAUGGAAGAUAUCAUGCUAGAACUAGUAACAAGAAAUUGUCUUUCUCCAAAAUGUAAGCUUAAGCCACAAUUGACAUCCUAUCGGCAAUUAACACUAAUGAAUCAACUAUAGCAACACAUCAAGAAAACACUAUCUCCUUUGGUGUUAACCUUACACUAGAACAUUUAUGGAAAGAUUAAAAGAGAAAGAAGGAACUCGGCAAAUUUUAACCCCGCCUGUUUAC
rnacentral:rRNA from 1 species